GCCGCUCCGUGCCACCGCGGCCGCCUUCCGCGGCCUCCCGGGGCCGCGGCGCCCCUCGGGGGGCGGCAAGGCCGCCUGAUGGUUGUGCAUCGCCUGCGGAAGCCAGAAGGGAGGCAAACCCUCUAGCAAAGAGGUACUCGCCCUGUCCUAGAAGUUGUCCUAUCUGUUGAUGUUUAUAUACCGUUGUCGGCCGAUAACGGAAGCCGGGAUGUUCUGAAGACCUGCUCGCUAGGCCACGCACGGAGGACGUUGGUUCCUCAUGGGCCACGGGCCCGCCUAGGGGAAAGUCCCCGGACCGCCGGCAGAGAGUGCCGGGCGCUACCGCGCCCCCGCCCGCUGCCGCCUCACGCCUUCCUCCGCCGAGACGCCCCCGGGCCGAGCGGGUGAGCGCGGGGUGGGCUCUCGUCACGGCCACAGAUACGCAGGUAGCGCGGCAGGCGCGCCAACAGAACGGGGCUCACUCUCAGGCCAUCCUCUUUUGCCGGGCGGGGGCUCCGCAGCGGCGCAUCCCGCGGGACACUCACGGCCCGGUGGUGCCUCCCCGGCGCGGCACAGCUCUGCGCGGGCACGGCAAAGCCUGUGCGGGGACACGCUGCUUCCCCGGCAGUGGCGUGCUGGACAAGCGGCCCCGGCCCCUCGGUGCUCAUACCCGCUGGACUUCUGGCGCCUCUUGGCGUGCAGGAUCAUUAAGGUUGGAAAAGACCAUCGACCAUUGAGAUCAUCGACUCCAACCUUUGACCAGACACCAUCUUGUCAACCAGACUAUGGCACUAAGUGCCAUGUCGUCUUUUCUUGAACACCUUCAGGGACAAUGGCUCCACCACCUCCCCGGGCAGCCUGUUCCAAUGCUUGGCAAUCCCUCCCAUUGUCCAACGUGAGCACAUUCAAUCGGAGAGGCACUUCGGACGGAGCACUUACCUGCCCGAAAAGGCUUUCCCUCCUUCCCAGCUCGAGGAAAUAGCAAGAGGCCAGAUGGCAGUACUCUGCUGCGAGCACUUGCACCACACAGAAGUUCAUGGUGCACCAGCACGGGAGGCUUCGGUGGGUGUCUGGGCGUCGGCACAAACACUGACACAGCACCGAGAACAAACCACACUCUUCAGCACCGCGGCCACUUACCAGGCUGUGCUGUGCGGGGCAUACCUACCCCUGGCAUCCCCUGCUCCGCCUUCUCUGCAGGGAAGGCCAAUGCGUGCCUCCAGUGGUUUUUGCCCACUUUAAUUAGAUUCUCAUGCUUAAACUCCCAGGUACUAACUAUGCAAGAUGCUGCUGCCUUGCUGAUAAACUGAACUAAUUUCAUAGGCAGUACCACUUUUGCCUCUAGUAUGUCAAGCACAUAGCACAUCAUCAUGGUCAGCUGGAAUAAAGCCCUCUGCUGCACUACAGUCAUGUCUGCAUAUAAAACAUGACAGAAGAGCACUGGCAGAGAUCCCCAAAAUGACAUAAAAUUCGGGCAUCUCAGACCCAAAAUCAAUGGUUUAUUACCUUACCCAAACUAUCUUUGUCACUUUACCCUAAAAGCUCACAAGUGGCCCAGAGACAAUGCUUCCUUCUGGUUCAUUCCAUCUCGAUGUGUUUGAAGUUCCUGUGGCAAGCCCAGGUCUGCUAAAUGAUGUCUUUCUCUUUGGUUGAGCAUCAAACCUGUGGCCUAUAUGCAGGCACAGGACAGUUUGCAAAGUUAGUUUAGUUUUAGUUUCAGUUCAGUUAGUUUUCCACACCUGCUGUUCCUCUUCCAGCAAUAUCCUUAUGGUGACCCCUUUCCAGCCAUGUCAGAGCCCACACUAGGCAGAGGAGACAAGUGUGCAGAGCAGGGAGCACCUCUGCAGAACUAGUGGUGGCAGCUCUGACUGCCUCACAUGAGAGCCCUGAAAGGGUGUGCAAGGGGCUCAGAAACCACCUGGCUUGAGCUGUUAUUUUGAUUGCUGUCUUAGCAACUUGAACUACUCAUCUUUGUUUUCUCCUGUGAUCCUGCAUGGAAUCACCUGUACAUCUAUGGGGAAAGAGAGAUUUCAAAUUAAAAUGCUGUCAAAGAACCCAUCCCCAAAGAAACAACUAAACUGGGGCACAGCUCUAUGAAGUCUUGUUUUUUUGGCUGAGAAAUUGUGAUGAAAUCUCAGUGUCCCAGUUUCAACUACUAAAAGGAUAUAUCUAAAGCUCUGUGAAGCACCUGCUACAAAGGCUGAAGACCACAGUUAAGCUAGUGGAGACAAGCUGAAGCUUGUGCAGUGACUGAUGUGUGCUUGUUUUUCUUUCUUGGCCCUAAAAUUGCACUAUAGCACCUUAAUGACUUGAACUGGUUCUGUGCAUGUGUGAACAAAAUGGUUUCACCUGUAGGUAAUGGUAAAUGUUGGUGUUCAAAUUUGUUAGUAGGAGAGAAUACAUCAAACAUCAAACUUCUCUUGCCUAUAGGCUAAACUAAGCUGACACAACAUGGUCUAGUGGUAGAUGCUGUGGGGAAAAAGAAUUUUGUUGCUGUCCCUCUUUCACUGGGCAAAUCUGUCCCCGAGCUUGUAAGUUGCAAAAUAUAGAGAAAAUAAAAGCAAUAUCUGUACUUUUAAAGUUUUUCUUUCAGCUAGAUGUUAAUUUUUUGCUAUGUUUUUGCAUAAUGUAUAAUAUGCCAUGCUCUUUGUUCAGGUAACAACAAUUAACUUGACUAUGUGUAUGUGCCUUCUAGAUGGUUCUGUUAGUUGCCACUUCCACAGCAAAUGUACUGCCAUUAGGUAGGUUAAGCAUUUUUAAGAAAAUGCUGCCAUUAAAUCUGCUGUCAGGAUGCCUCAAUUUUUAGUCUGUGAUUAAUUAACAUUCACUCACAGAUGGGCAUUUAGGAAUACAGGUUUUAUGUUGAUACCUGGUAACAAUUUCAAAUACGUUGUAGACUAAUUAUGAAAAUCGUGCAUGAUAAUUUCUGAGCACUACUGCCUGUUCCUAAGGUAAUGGAAGAGUGAGUGACAGUGGUUACCACCAAUGUAUUUUCCUCCUCUGGUAACAUUCCUGCAACUAAAAAAGUAUCAUUCAGCUCCAACAUCUGAGCCUGUAGCCCUUUAAAGUUUUCAUUGCUACUGGUGGUCAAGUAACAUUAACUGUUAAGCCCAAGUGGGCUGCAAAAGGAGCUUUCUUUUCAAUAUGAAUAUAGAGAUUAAUCACAUUGGGCAAAAGAUAUUAUGUCACUAGUAAGAAAACUGACCAAUGGAUUUAUUAAAUCCUCUGAUGUUUUACAUUUUACAUUUCAAAUCUUUCCGCCUGGAGAAGAGAGAGCUGAGAGAGGAUUUUAUCAAUGUCCUUAAGUAUCCAAAGGAAGGGUGUCAAGAGGAUGGAGCCAGGCUCUUCUAGGUGGUACCAAGAAAUAGGACAAGAGUCAAUAUGCAGAAAUGGAUAUAUAGGAAGUCCCACCUGAAUAUGAGGAAGAACUUCUUUGCUGUGUAGGUAACCAAACAUUGGAACAGAUCGCCCAGAGAAGCUGUAGAGCCUCCAUCUCUAGAGGGGUUCAAAAGCUGUCUGGACACAAUCUGUGCAAUGUGCUCUAGGUGACCCAGCCUGAGCAGGGAAAUUGGACCAGAUGACUCACUGUGGUCCCUUCCAGCCUCACCUAUUCUGUUAAUUUAACUGCAGCUAAGUUCUAUAUUCAGUCAGAUGUUGCCUAUAUUUUGACAGCAAUCUUCCAGCCUAAAGCCUCCUUUAGUUUGGAGUAAAUACCACAUUUCUCAUUAUUUUGAAGAAGAGGAUGUUUGAGAGGCAGGAAUCUAUUCAUAUUGUUUAACCAUUAAUUUUUCUCACAAUUACAACUGAAUAAUAAAACAAAUGUAAACUCUGUCUGUUCUUGGGAAAAAAACAAACAAAAACCUGUACAUUGGUCAUAUCCUAAUAGCAAAGGACAAUACUACUUUUUGGUAACUCAGAAUAAGUGAGUACUGAAAAAUUUGCUUAGCAGAAGCGCUACUAGAAAACCCCUAAUGUGGGUGAAUUGGUGCUACAGGGUUAUUUUGAAGAUAUGAAAUUACUCUCUGGUGCUAUUUGUGGUGAUUUUUCAGUUGCACUAGAAAUUAAUUAUUUUUACUAGGCUAGGAUAAGCAGGUUCCAAAGGAGAAAAAAACCCACACUAGCAGGGAAAUAAAAUGAGGCUUCCUCCUGUUUGUUGCAGAGUUUUAAUGAGGAAUGCCAAAACUCUGUCCAAGUUUUCAGGGGAACUCUGAAUUUCAUAAAUAGUAAUCAUAAGCAUGUAAUUACCCCAUUUUCGCAUACCGAGUGGAAUUCAUUUCACUGACAUCUGUGACAAGAGACCUGGGCUCCCCUUACAGUCAAUGAAGACAUUUUUAGAGCAAGACCUAUUUAUAUUAAGAUUCUCUCUCAUUCCACAUAUUUAGCUGGAUGACUCCCACCUUCAUUUCCUGAGCUAGAAAGAAAAAAUAACAGCUGCAUAUGGGAGAAUAUUAUGAAUGUCUUGAACUAUCAAUGAUUGAAACUUUCUGCAGGUACACUGCCCACCCUCAUUUCAUAACCUUGAUUACAGGGGUGCACUUGUGUACUCACAAAAGGAAGAAGUAAGAAUGUGUUUUUCACAUGACCUAUGCUGAGAAGCAAAAUCACAGAAAUGCAGCAUCCAUGUCGGUAGGUACCUCAGGUAAGAACACACCAAAAUCCUUUCUUUAUUGUGUGCAAAAGGGUCUUGGUUCUUUUCCCUUAAAUUCAUGUGGAUUCUUCCAUUUAUUAGGGUGGAAGAGGAUCAGGUUCAAGGCUGAGGUAAAACAAGCAAGACAGUUGUUACCUUUGCAGUAAGAUUACCUUGUUACCAUUUCUAACUUGGCUUCCCUAAACAUCAUCUGCAUGCCUUCCGAGGUUUUUCGCAUGGUGAUUGGUUCUAGAGCUGGAAACCAAAACCACUGAUCAUUUCUGCUUUAUAAUAGUAGCUGAGGAAGAAGAGUUACUGUGUGAAAGCAGUUUCCUGGAGAAUGGCAGGGAAGUGUUAUUUUGGACACAAGUGGACAGAUCCAUGUUGUAAAUGACAGGAAAUUAUCCAUGUGGUGCUAUCAUUGCAGUGACCAGAUGCUGCCCCUCAGCUGAUCAGCAGUGGCCUCUCCUCUAAGGAGCUGCAGUUCCUAUGCCAGCCAAGCAUGCUCCAUAGCACCUGUGAGAAGCAGGUAGUGUCCAGCUUCUGCUGAUUUCCAGAGGACAUUCCAAACAGAGCUGAUAGCCUCAAAAAGGAGCAGUGUGGCUCUACUCAAAACGAAGUGACAGCGUGUCAGUAUGUUCUGAUGAACGCAAUGAAGUCAAACCCUGAAACACUUCCUGGGUUAUCAAUAGAAAGCAAGAAGAAAAAAAAAACAACCCCAAGCCAAACAAAAACACACAAACCAAAAA